rnacentral:lncRNA from 1 species
CUUGCUGCUUACAAUUAUCUCUAUCUAUAAUGAACUAAAUUGACUAUAAAGGACAAUAACUCCUUAGGGGGUCAAUUGACCAUUUCAGUCAUGUUGACUUAUUUGUAAAUCUUACUUUGCUGUACAUUAUUGCUGUUUAAAGUUUAUCUCUAUCUAUAAUAAUAUUCAAGAUAAUAACCCAAAACAGUAAAAUUUCCUUAAAAUUACCAAUUUAGGGGCAGCAACCCAACAACGGGUUGUCUGAUUCAUCCGAAAUUUCAGGGCAGAUAGAUUUUGACCUGAUAAACAAUUCAACCCAAU